UACAGAGGUCUCAAGCGUUGUUCGGGAUUCAUUGGGCGUAAAGGGUGUGUAGGUGGCGCGCUAAGUCGGGUGUGAAAUUUCGGAGCUUAACUCCGAAACUGCAUUCGAUACUGGCGUGCUUGAGGACUGGAGAGGAGACUGGAAUUCAUGGUGUAGCAGUGAAAAUGCGCAGAUAUCAGGGAGGAACACCGGUGGCGAAGGCGGGGUCUCUGGGCAGUAAACUACGCUGGAGGAGCGAAAAGCGUGGGGGAGCGAACAGGA
rnacentral:rRNA from 1 species